CCCUAAACCUAAAUCUUGCGAAAUGAUGCCUCCCCUGUACUGUUCAUCUUCUUCCCGAUUCAAACCUCAACUCGCCCGAAACUGGUGCGAGUUCACUCAAACAAGUCCCUUCUCUCCACGUCACCCUUAUCCUAACGUAUUUCUGACCAAAAAAGGGGAAUAUUUCCUUUGAAUUUUGCACAAUCUUGUAAUCUUGGGUGAUUUGCUGGAUAAAUGGAAUUCGUGGAUGGAUGGAAAUCAAUCCAUGCCUUGUAUUUGUCCCUAAAAAUCACUCACAAACGAGGAAAUUUUUCGGAUCCUAGGCAGAAGCUUCAAGAAUUUUUGAGGUUAAAUGUAAGGUAAGUUCUAUUCUUGUGAAAGAAGGAAAGAUUUUUUAGAGAAUUGGUAGAGUAAGUUUCUACGGCUCUUGAAGUUUUUAUUUUUCUUCAUGCCUUUUCUUUUUUAGUCUGCUCUCUUCAGAAAACGAAAACAAUAAGAAACAAAAUGGUAUGAGUUUGUGUUCUUCAUUCGAGUUUCAUUUUCAAAAGAAAUCAGAGAAAGCACCAAAAAUGUUUUCAGCAUUUUUUUGUUGAUUCUAGAUUCUCAAGGAUUAGGUUUGAAUUGAGUUGUUUUCCGGUUCUCAAAGCUAAAGGAAGCACACCAAUUUAGUUUAGUAUAAAGUUUAUUUUUUUUCUAUCUAUUCUUUGCAUAAGUCCUUGGAGCUAUUAUCUUAAUCAUUGGUUGUCCCAUUUGCACAUUCUGUGUGCUUACCUCACGAGUUAAAUUGAUACUUUUUUCAAAUAUUUACUAUCCCCUUAGCCUAAUAACAAGAUCAUAUCAUUUUUCCAUAGCAAUUUCGUAUCCAUCCCUCGUAACUUUCCAAUAAUCUCAAACCUUAGAAGAAUAUUCAAACUCAUACCCUAGUUUGCCUUUAAAAAAUAUAACCCUUUUCUUAAAUAAUUUGAGGUGCCAUGCUUAAAACGUAUAAUACAUGGCUCUCAUAAAAUUAGAUCAAGACCUAAUCCUUUUAGAAAAUAAGUAUACGCAAUCAAAAUCUAUAAACUAUGGUGCUCCCAUAAAUAAAAUAUUUUUGUAGAAAUUGCAUUGAACUUUCGUAGUUUUCUUUAGGCCCGUUAAUUAAAUAAUUGUCAUAGCUACCGGCGGUUCCAGUGACGUAGUCGUGAUGCUUAAUUACUAAAAUUUGGGGGGUACAUUUAUGUCAUUUAGCCACAAUUUAAUCUUUAAAAAUUAAACAUGUUGUAGAACGUGUGUACUGUUCUCGUGACAUGAUUCGCAAUAUGUAACAAUAAUUAUUAAAAGCGGUUAUAAAGUUAGAAAUGCACAAUAGGUUUAAAAUGUGUUGUAAAUCAGAUAAUAGGCCAAUUAUUAAAUGUUUAAGCAACCAUGCUAGAACCACGGAACCCGGGAAUACCUAGCACUUUCUUCCGGGUUAACAAAAUUCCUUAAAAUUUUUGGUUCGCAGACUUUUAUAUAAAGUCGAAAUUUCUUCGAUUUGGGAUUUUAAAAAUAAAUCGGUGACUUGGAUACCAAAUAAACUAUUCCAAGUGGCGACUCUAAUAAGUAAAUAAUCCCAUUUCGAUUUAUGUCACUUUAGUUGAAAAAAUUCAUAUAUUACCCUUGCGGUGUAAGAAGGAGGUGUGAAAGAGGUGGUACCCGACCUCGAGGAUCUCGUCAACAAGAAAUUUAGCUCCAAGGAGCCAACAAUGCCAUCUCCAGUCCCAAGGUGGUGCCCGACCUCGAGGACCUCCAUAUAAAAUAAGCUAGGCAUUAAGAAGCCAACAACAUCAUCUUCAGUUUCGAGGUGAUAAUCGACCUCGAAGACCCCUAUCAGCAAGAAGUUUAGGCUUUAAGAAGCUUGUAGUGUCGCCUCCAAUCUCAAGACGGUAUCCGAUCUCGAAGGUUCAUCUCAAGAAGAAAAAUAAGCAUUUCGAGUUCCGUGCAUGAGGGCUCGACUCCUUCACAUCGCCUAAGUAUGAGUAGCCCCUCAUUGGGGGCGUAUCUACAACGCCUCAAAAUAUUAUCUACGCCAAGUUUAAAACAAAACUCUCUAGGCGCCCGAAGCUGGCCCUCACUCAGAUGCCGCUCUCAAAAACUUCGAGUUUCGAGGUGCUAUAUUCAUGUGACUCGAGGGUCCCGAUGGCUCAAGUCUAUUGAACCACUUCAGGCUUGCUUCGAGGAACACCGGUGGGCUUAGGAAAGAGCCAUUUCUAUCAACCAAAGAUCGACAAGAAUACUUGCACCCGAGUUAGAUUUUGACAAAUCGACAACAGAGGUAUACAUUAAGAACUCCCACAAAUAUAAAAGAAUAUGAGAAGCAUCAAAGGCUGAGGUCGAGAAAAUAUCUUUAUAUUUAUGCACAUUUUCUUACAAUAGCCCUUGAGGGGUCCUUACAUAUAAUUACAAAAGCCCAUAAGGGGUUCUUACAAAGAAAUAAAGAAGCGGAGGAGUGUACACCCAUAGUGAAAGCCUAAAGGCCUAGUCUACCCUCGAAGGUUCAUCUUCAGUAGCAGAAUCUCCAAGCGUACCUCCUCUAGGUUCCUUGCACGAUCCCAUGGAAUAACAUCUCCGAGGGAGAAGAUGAAGAAGUGGACAGGAGGAGGAUGUCGAAGAGGCAGAAAAAAGAAACAUAACCGCCGAAGCCAAAGGUUGAAGAUUCGGAGGGCCCCAGCAUCGACAGCUGGUUGUGCCACUUUAUCCCUUGGGAGGAAAAUUAAAAACCCAAGGAAUGAAGUGCCAUACCAUGUCGAGGUAGGAGAGUGAGAAGCGGUGUAGAGUCCGAACGCCCUUCUAUAUCGGAAGAAGCUGACUGCCCUAUAUAGGGAGAUAGUAUUGGGAUACUCCUAUUUAUAGGAGGUAAUGACACGACCAUCGAUGCCCUUGAAAGACUAGUCGACAGAUGUAAUCAACGUGCUCUUGAAAAACUGAGUCGACGGUAGUGUUGUCAUUUUGAAGGAUUGGAAUCGACAGUGUAUUGAAUGGUAUCGAAAAGACAAUUCCAUGGGAUAUCCCAGUUUUCGUGAAAGCUCAUGGGGAGCCUGAAGAUUUCGGCAUUUGAAUCGUUUCCCAUCACUUCGCUCUAGGAAACGUGGAGACUAUUUGUAUGCGAUAAAAUUGGGGAGCCAAUUUCUCGGUAAUAAGGCAUUAAGGAUGAUCACCUAGGAGGCUCAAGAACACAGACUAAGCAUCCUCUCUUGAGAUAUAUCGACACCCGUUUCGGGGGUAACAUUGGCCAAGACCCCAACAGGCAUGGGGAGUUUUCAAAGAAUACAGCUGGGGUCAAAUGAGUCUAUCAGGAUAGCUUAAGGCUAGUCUACACCUGCAUCAUGGAGCCAGUCAGCUGUUCUAUCCCAUUUUCUUUAUAAUUAAUGCGCCAUUUUACCAUGUCUGUAUUUUCCUAUCCUAUAUAAGGGGGAUCCCUAGCAGUUUGUAAAUUCUAUUGUUCCAACUGUUCUACACGAAAUAAUAACUCUUUCUCUCUCUCUUCUCUCUAAUACACUCUCUUGAAAUUGUUUCUUUAGUUUAUUAUCUCCAUACUUGUUCUUCAUUUAUUUGCUUAUCAUUGGCCAUAGCCUCCAUCAAUUAUAUCCUAAUGUUAGCCCUUCCCCAACUUUCCUCGAUAGCUCAAGCCCGAGCCCAGGCAUCAAUUUCGAGGUUGUUUAUCGGUCAGUUUGUGGCCGAAUAACUAGCCCCUUAGUUUGAUCAUAACUCCGUUUUAGCUUGCAUUUCACCCUUUAUCUUUACAUAUCUAGUAUCCACUGCUUAAACAACUAGUAUAAAAAUAGAUCACGUAUAUUUAGAGACCCAUUAACAAAUUUAGUUGUGAUUACCAUUUUCACGGUAAAUAGGAAGAUCAUUCUAUUCCUCUUUACGUCAUUUUUCCUGACUAGAGGGAAGAUGGAUGUGUCAUUGCUGAGGAGGAAACCCUUCCUACUGUGGAGAAAAUGGUACCACGAUGUCCCAAUGUUUAGCCUAACUUCAUAAAGGUGGCAGAACUGGUGAAAAGGAGGUUUAAAUCUACAAUGAUAGUUGAGCUGUUAACUAGCUCAAGGUUAGACUCGGCCUACCUGGGCCCAAGGAUCGGAUCCCUGCGGGCGAUGACGAGGUGCGAGAUCAUCUUCCCGGCUUCUGCGCUCUUUAUGCAUAUCUGUUCUUAAUUUGAUAUUAGUUCCCUUUGCUGCUGUUGAUAGAGGAGUUAUGUCUCUACUACAACGUAUAUCCGAUGCAUCUCCGCCCUUAUAUCUUUAAAGUGUCAUGAUGUUGACUACAUUCAUUGAAUUGGCUGACGUUAACAUAAAAGUAUGCCACCUGAUCCAUCUAUUUGCCCCUCAUUUCUUUUGAGGGACUUUGCUGGAUCUUCGCCAUCGGGGGGAAAAAAUGUUUAGUGGUGAGGAUGGAUGACAAGGCUAGUCGGCAUUUCUAGCUUGACUAUUUCUAUGUCAGGACCAAGGAUGUGGUUUCCGCCACCAUAGGCUUCCUUAAGACUUGUAACCCUACCCGUAAGUACUCUAUAUGUUUAUAUAACUUUUUGUUUCCAAUGUUUUUCUUAUUGUGGGUCAGUUAAUUAGCUUUCCCUUUUUUUUGCAGCUACUAAUCCAACUCUCCAAAUGGUGGCCCACAUUAGCAUUGGGUUCGACAGAUUCUUCCUAGUACGACAUGAAUACAUUAUUGGUCAAGGUUUCUAAGAGAUAUAGGUUGUCUCUUCCCUCGACAGGUAACCUACUCCUUACCCUCGAUGCUACAAUUUCUUCGCCCAUGUCUGUUACCUCUGCUGAUUUUUCCCUUUCUCAUUUUUCUUUAGCUUCGGCCAUGGGAUCUACCAGGAUUUUGAGAGCUCCCAUGACCUCAUUCGGAAGAAGAGGGCCACUAUUUCUUUAGUCUCUUCCCCUUCUAUGACUACUACUGAACCUGUCUUCGUUCCAAUUCCACCUGCCACCACUUAUGCCUUCGUUUCUGCUCUGGCUGCUGAGAUUUGUGCUCCUCUAUAUUCUCUCAUUGACAAGGACAAUGUGUUACUCUGGCCGUUGAUGUGGCAGGAGGGAUUUUUCAUUGCAUGAGGCAAGGAUAAUUUUUAUGGGCGAUGAAUCUCAAGGCUCAAAGACUGGUCGAAGCCGAUGUAGGUGUUUCUUUUCAUUCCGAGGGAAUGGAAACUAAGGGGGAGAUUGCUGACGUUGUUGACUUUUCGUGCGAGAUAAACCUUCAACCUCUCGGACAACCGCAUAUGCUUCUUUGCCUACAAAUGAUAGGGGCAAAAGCAUUGAUGAAGAGGCAUAUGAGUCGGGUUUCAAUGUGUAUGCAGACAACAUGAAAAAGAUUGAAGAUGGGCUUAUCUAGCUCGUGGCAAAGUUAGAGGGGUCUACGAGGUCUAUCAUGAUGCCUAUGGAGACUUGUUUGUGGACACCGAGGAGGUAGUCUCUGCCUUUGGUCCUCUCUAUUCCAUAGUUGAGGGUAAGACCCUUAAGGAAAUCAAUAAUGGUGCUUUGUCGAGGAGCACUGCCGGCCUAGCUGUUAGGGUAAGUGUUUGUGAUAUGAACUUUUUCUUGUUUCUUAGGACUUUUAAAGUUCUGACCUUUAUUCUCCUCUUGUUUAGUAUACAGACAGUGAUUUUAGAAAUGGAGAGCACUCAGAUAGAGAAAUGAGAUAAAGUUAUCUUCAUGAAACUGAAAGAUAAAUACCUUGAGUAGCGAGAUCUCCACAGUCAGUUUUGCGAGGGCGGAAACAUGAAUGCCUUGAUGGAAGAUCUAAAGAAUAGGGACGAGGACCUAGUACAAGCCAUAGAGAAGUUCAUUAUCCUCGAGGGGAUAUUAAGAAGUAGAGAGUAUGAGCUUGAGGUUAGCAGGGGCAUAGAGGCCCAAUGCAGUGAUCUAAGAUCAAGUGCUUGAAUUGUAAGGGCAGCUUAAAGAGUGUCGGUUUUAGCUGGAGGCCCUUAGUGGAAAUAUUAUUGAGAAAAGAAGGAGCUUGAGAAGACAGAGCCGUCUAGUUUGGACGCUCGGAGGAAGGAAGAGAUGUUCGAGGUGGCAAAUAAGACUCUUCAAGCCGAGCUGGAAAAUGAUCAAUCGACAACGAGAGCUACGGAAUACCAGAUCGAGGAAUUGGAGAAAGAUAAUUUCGUCCUUCAUGAUCAAGUAGCCGCUCUAAUGGCCGAGAAAGGCUCAACUACUUGCACGACCGUCCUCCUCCAACACUUCUAACUUUCGCAAUAUUCCUCGAAAGUUAUACAAAGAAUGGAACCACACUGAGUGAUGUGUUUUGAGAUUUAUACAGUAGGCUUGGUUCAUGGGGAUGCAUUUGAGGAUGCUCGAGUGAGGGCUCGUGAAGCUAGUGUUUCUUAAGGAUAUGAUCCCACAACGUGUGAUGAACCAAAGGGGUCAUCACCUGUUUCUAAUUAAAAUAUGUGUUUUCGAGGCCUUGAAAACCUUAUUUAGGGUUGCCUCGAUUUGCGUGCACAGUCCAGGCGCAUAGCCGGAAAGCUUAUAUGGGAAAUUUUUGCAAAAAAUGCUAAAUUUUGGUAUUAUAAUCAACGAGUUUGACUCCAGACAACAUUUUAGGCAAACAGACCCGGACCUAUGAUUUGACGGUCCUAGAGGGUUCAUAGGAAAAUAUGGGACUUGCGCUUAUGUCCGAAAUCGAAUUCCGAGGUCCCAAGCCCGAGAUAUGAAUUUUUAUAUGAAAUUGCUUUAUGAAAAUGUUUAAAGAGAAUUGAAGUAAAAUCUAAUUUGAAAGUAAUGAUAUCGCGCCUGUAUUUUGGUUUCGGCGCCCGGUACAAGUCUCAUAUAUGUUUUGAAUCACUGUUGUAAAGUUUGGUUAAAAACGAACGUUGUUUGGUGCGAUCCGGAUCCUAAUUGGGAAAUUUAUGCUUAAAAGGAGUUUUUAGAAAUUUCAUUGAUCUUGAGGCUCAAUUUGAUGUUCAUGAUGUUAUAUUGGUGAUUUCAUCACACGAAUAUGCUCGUAGGAUGUUUUGAGGUUGUGUAUAUAUUUGGUUUAAAGCUUUGAGGGCUCGGGUGAGUUUCGAGUAGGUUCCGGGAUGCCUUAGGCUUAAAAAGAUCAGAUGUUGCAGGUUUAGGAAUUUUCACAAGUCUCUGAACCCUCUUGCGCGGCCCGCGAGAAAUAGCAUGCGGCCGCUGAGGGGCCAGCAUGGCCGCAAUCACCUUUGAGCGGUUCGAGGUGGGUGUUGUGCGCCGGUAGUCAGCUUGGUGCGGUCCGCAUUGGGCAAUAAUAUGCAGGUCUUCAGGAAGCCUGUGCGGCCAUGGUCCUUUUUUGCGCAGUCCGCACAAGAAAGUUUAGAGGGGCAUAAAUAUAUUUGAAUUUAAGUUAUUUUACAUUUUUCUAAACCCCAAAACAUAAGAGACGAUUUUCCAAGCAACAUUUCUUCUCCAAAACAAUUGGUAAGUGGUUUCUAACUCAUUUUCUUCAAUCCUUAGCAUCUUUUAACAUGAUUUCAACUUCAAAUCAAUGAUUUUCAUGGCAUAAUUGGGUGUUUUGGGUAGAACCUAGGUUUUCUAAAAAUUUGGGAGUUGGACCUCAAUUUAAGGUCUGAUUUCAAAAAAAAAUCAUAUAUUUGGAUUUGUGGGGAAAUGUGUAACCGAGUUUUGCUCCAAACGUCGAGUUUUGACCGCGUGGGCCCUAGGGCAUUUUUCACCUUUUGGGGUAAAACCUUAUAAAACUUAUUUUCAUGCAUUGGAGUUGAUUCAUUUUGCAUUUAUUAAUAUGAUUAACUUAUGUCUAGAUUCGAGCAGAUUGGUGGUGGAAUCAAGAAGUAAAGCUAUAAUUGGGACUUGAGUGGUGUUUAAGGCAUCGAGGUAAGUGUUUGGUCUAACCUUAGCUUGAGGGAUUAGGAGUCAUAUGUGCUAAUUGCUCUUUGUUGAGUACGACAUAUAAGCAUGGUGACGAGUAUCUAUACGUUAGUGUCAAGCAUGAUGGUGAGUCCUAAAUUAGAAGUUGUUGUAUUCUUAAAUGACUUCACGUAUGCCUUAUCUAAUGAUCCACCGUAUCGAGCAAAGAUUUAUUUAUCCUCGUAGAUCUUAUUUAUGAUUGAGCACCUUCAUUAAGAAAAUAGAGAUGAGGUUGGUUAUAGCUUAUUCUCCAUUGCCGGGAUGAUUGGUUCUAUAUUGUUGUUCCAUUGCUGGGAAGUUAUUAUGUUACUUUGUUCCUUUGUCGGGACCUCUAGUGAUUAUGUGAUAACAUGAAACGGGAAUGGGUGGUACGCCUACCACAAGAUAUUGAAAUAGGAGCGAGUGGUACGCCUACCACAAGAUUUGAUGAAAUGGGAGCGGGUGAUAUGCCUACCAUAAGAUUUGAUGAAAUGGGAGCGGGUGGUUCGCCUACCACAAGAUUUGAUGAAAUGAGAGCAGGUGGUACGCCUAUCACAAGAUUUGAAGUAAUGGGAGUUGGUGGUAUGCCUACAACAAGAUUUGAUGAAAUGGGAGCGGGUGGUACGCCUACCACAAGUGAUAUUGAAAUGGAAGCGGGUGGUACACCUACCACAAGUGAUUAAAAUGGGAGUUGGGGGUACACCUACCACAAGUGAUGUUAAAAUGGGAGUGGGUGGUACGCUUACCAUAAGUGACAUUGAAAUGGGAGCGGGUGGUACGCCUACCACGAGUCAUGAUGAAUUGGGAGCAAGUCGUAAGCCUACCACGAGAUAUGAGAAAUGGGAUCGGGUUGCACGCCUGCAAUGAGAUGAGCAUUGAAAGUGAAAGUUGUUUUUACCUAUUCUUAUCCGUGUUAGUAGCUUAAUAGUUGAUCUCAUUAUUAUUUCUUGAAGAUUCUGUUUAUUUUUCUAUCCCCAAAAAAUCAUGUUUCCCCUCCCUAGUUUUACUUGUUUAUUUCUUGUUAUUUCUUUUGUUAUAUAUUAUUUAACUGCACAGGUUUAGCUGGAGUCUGGUCCUAGCUUCGUCACUACCUCUCUGGGGUUAGGCCAGACACUUACCAGCACAUGCGGUGAUUGUGCUGAUGCUACACUCUACACUUAUGUGCAAAUACCGUAGCAACGUGUGAGCAGCAACACUAGACUGGGUGCCAGCCUUCAGUCCACCAAGACACCGAGGCAACCUUGCAGAUGUCCGUAGAUCCGGAGUCUUCUCUAUGUUGCUUUUAAUUUGUUAACUUAUGUAUUCCGAUACAAACAAUGCUAUAUUUCUUUCAAACAGUUGUAUUUAGUACUCUUAGUAGUCCCUGGGUAAUGUGACACCAGUUCUUGGGUAAAGAUAUAUGAUAAGUUCCGCAUUAUUGUUCAGUUUAUUUAAUUUAAGUCUUCC
rnacentral:lncRNA from 1 species